AGGGAGAGAAGUAGGAGUAUAAGUUCCCCUACUUCCCACUGCCAGCGUCACUUUCUAGUCCGGCCAGCAGUGAGUCUCCAUCUCAUUUUUCACCUCAUUCUCUGUCGUGCCUAAACUUCUCCAAGAUGAGCUUCAGAAGAUCCAACAUGCAGCCAAUCUCUUCUUCCCACAUCUCCAUGACCCGCUCCACACCUCAGUAUCGUGCAGCCAGCAUUUAUGCAGGUGCUGGUGGACACGGUGCCCGCAUUUCCUCUGCCUCCUCAUCUUCCCUGCGGUCUGGUGCCCCAAUGACCUCCUCUUCCUCUGCCUUCAAGCUGAGCAGUGGAAUGGGCUCUGGUUUUGGUGGUGCCGGUGCAUCUGUGGCGACCGGUGGUGGUGCUGCUGCUAGGAUCCAGGGCAACGAGAAGGGAGCCAUGCAGAACCUGAAUGACCGAUUGGCCAACUACCUGGAGACGGUGAGGAACCUGGAACAGGCCAACAAGGAGCUGGAGAUGAAGAUCAUGGAGGCUCUGGAGAAGGGGGGGCCCGACAUGAGAGACUACAGCAAGUAUGAACCCAUCAUUGAUGACCUACGCAGACAGAUCUUUGAUAAGAUUUCGGAGAAUGCUCGUUUUGUGCUCCAGAUCGACAAUGCCCGUCUUGCUGCUGACGACUUCAAAGUAAAGUUCGACAAUGAGACGGCAAUCCGUCAAUCUGUGGAGGCCGACAUUGGUGGGCUGAAGAGAGUCAUAGAUGAUACCAACAUGGCCAGGAUGAACAUCGAGAAUGAGAUUGAAGCUGUGAGGGAGGAACUUGCUUUCCUAAAGAAGAACCAUGAAAAUGAGGUGAUGGAGCUGAGGAAUCAGAUCUCCCAGUCAGGCGUGCAAGUGGACGUUGACGCUCCCAAAGGUCAGGACUUGUCCCAGAUAAUGGAGGAAGUGAGGAACAACUAUGAGAAAAUUGCUCUGAAGAAUGCAGAAGACCUCAAACAAUGGCAUGAAAAUCAGAUUGCGGACGUGCAGGCGCAGGUAUCGCAGAACACGGAAGCUCUCCAAGGAGCCCAGAUGGAGAUUGGUGACUUAAACAGACAGAUACAGACUCUGGAAAUUGAACUUGCGUCCCAACAGAGCUUAAAAGCCUCCUUAGAGGACACAUUACGCAACACAGAGCAACGAAACAACAUGGAAAUGGAGAAGUACAACAGCAUUAUUAUCCAUCUGGAGGAGGAGCUGACCAAAUUGCGUGCAAACAUCCAGCAACAGACCCAAGAUUAUGAGGCGCUGCUCAACAUGAAGAUGAAACUGGAGGCUGAGAUUUCCACUUACAAGGGUCUGCUGGAUGGUGGAGACUUCAAGUAAGAGUUAUAAAGAGAUGGAGGAGAAAAAAACAGAUCGAGGCAAUGUGAUGAUGGUGGUGGAGGCUCCAGGAUGCACUGGAUGAGCUGGCCGCCACAAUCUAAUUUGGAAUAAAGAAUCUUGGACCAUCCCAACAAAGAAAGCAGAACAACCCACAACUAUCCAUCGUGGAAAAAAAGUUCCAUGCUUCUCCGAACAUCUGAAGCCAAUUUUUAAGACCACAUUCCGUGUAAACCAUAAAUGAGUUAAGCAAUUCUGAAUAAAGGCAUUUGACCACACCACAGUGAAACAGGGCUAUUUUAAAAGCAAACAGUGCCUGAUCUGACAAUGAAAUAAAAAUGAAUAAAACCA